rnacentral:rRNA from 1 species
UACGUAGGGUGCAAGCGUUGUCCGGAAUUAUUGGGCGUAAAGAGCUCGUAGGCGGUUUGUCGCGUCUGGUGUGAAAAUCCAGGGCUUAACCCUGGACCUGCAUCGGGUACGGGCAGACUAGAGUGCGGUAGGGGAGAUCGGAAUUCCUGGUGUAGCGGUGAAAUGCGCAGAUAUCAGGAGGAACACCGGUGGCGAAGGCGGGAUCUCUGGGCCAUUACUGACGCUGAGGAGCGAAAGCGUGGGGAGCGAACAGG